AGCCCUUACAUGACCAUGUCCCCCUUUUUUAACCACCAAACCCUAACUUCUUUUUACCUUCAUCUUCCCUAAAAUUUUAGCCACAAGCCCUAGCCGCCGCUCACCCACAAAUUCAUCACCAUCGCCACUAUUUGACUCUCCACCGUUAAGUCUAUCCUCUUCCCCUGCACGAGUGUUUUCCCCUCCCACCCUCGACCCUUCAUCAUCAUCCUAGCCUUCGAGUCACCUACGCUAUCCCCUCUCCCUUUUCUCCCUCGCGCCGACCCAUCCCCGCCCCCUAGCCCUCCACCAUUGUCAUUCCCCUUCUCUUUUCCCUUCUAUUUCCCCCGUUUCCUUUCCCAUCCUAGAACAGUCCCCUCUCCUCUUCUUUUUCUCCCCAUCACCAGCACCUCUCCCUUGUUCAUGUACCCACGCACAUAACCUCCCCGGCCCACCACAACUCCACCGUCGUUUCCCUGUCCCCACCACCACCAUUUACUCCAGUCACCACCCACCACUGUUUACC
rnacentral:lncRNA from 1 species